AUACGUAGGUGGCAAGCGUUGUCCGGAAUUAUUGGGCGUAAAGCGCGCGCAGGUGGUUCCUUAAGUCUGAUGUGAAAGCCCCCGGCUCAACCCGGGAGGGUCAUUGGAAACUGGGGAACUUGAGUGCAGAAGAGGAUAGUGGAAUUCCAAGUGUAGCGGUGAAAUGCGUAGAGAUUUGGAGGAACACCAGUGGCGAAGGCGACUGUCUGGUCUGUACCUGACACUGUGGCGCGAGAGCGUGGGGAGCAAACAGGAUUAUAUACCCUGGGAGUCCACGCCGUAAACGAUGAGUGCUAAGUGUUGGGGGGUUUCCGCCCCUCAGUGCUGCAGCUAACGCAUUAAGCACUCCGCCUGGGGAGUACGGUCGCAAGACUGAAACUCAAAUGAAUUGACGGGG
rnacentral:rRNA from 1 species